UACGUAGGGUGCGAGCGUUGUCCGGAAUUAUUGGGCGUAAAGAGCUCGUAGGCGGCCUGUCGCGUCGGAUGUGAAAGCCCCGGGGCUUAACCCCGGGUCUGCAUUCGAUACGGGCAGGCUAGAGUGUGGUAGGGGAGAUCGGAAUUCCUGGUGUAGCGGUGAAAUGCGUAGAGAUGUGGAGGAACACCUGUGGCGAAAGCGGCGCACCGGACCAUAACUGACGCUGAUGCGCGAAAGCUAGGGGAGCAAACAGG
rnacentral:rRNA from 1 species